AAAUGUCUCAAUCGUAUAAAAUUUCUUUUUCUAAAUCCAUAAAUUUCAUCAAUAAAUACCAAGAUGGUGUUAGAAAUAUGUACAAUGUUAGCAUAUGUUUAACCACCUUCAACUAUCAAAUCGGAUGGGGCGUACCCACAUGGUGUGAAGGGGCUUCGUUGAAAAAUUAUAUUUUGUAGAAUAGUAAAUCAUAUAAUUAAAACAAAGACAAUACAUAUAGA
rnacentral:misc_RNA from 1 species